UUCCUCACGGACAUCGGGCCGCGGGGCGCGGACGCCCUCGCGACGCCGAACGUCGUUCGAAUGAUGUUUGUGACCGAGGUCGUGGGCAGAUAGAGGUCGAAGACCCCGUGCCCCCAGCGUAUUCCACACCCCAGAGAACGAACGAGGAGCCGUGGGCCGCGACACGUCGCCGUUAGGCGCGAGCCGAGGAUCACGAUUCUCGCUUCGAGGUUCACCCUAUUCCGCACCGAGUAUUCGGGCGGCGUCGAGCGAACGAGGGAAGAUUGCCGGCCGAAUUCCAUGGUAGUAGGUACGCAACACAGGAAACCGUCGUGCGGCCAAGGCUACGAAAGCUUGUGCCGAACAAUGAAGAGGCUAGCACGGCUGGACGUCGCUGCGCGGGAGCAGGGA
rnacentral:misc_RNA from 1 species